UACGAAGGGGGCUAGCGUUGCUCGGAAUUACUGGGCGUAAAGGGCGCGUAGGCGGCACUGUUAGUCAGGCGUGAAAUUCCUGGGCUCAACCUGGGGACUGCGCUUGAUACGGCAGAGCUAGAGGAUGGAAGAGGCUCGCGGAAUUCCCCAGUGUAGAGGUGAAAAUUCGUAGAUAUUGGGAAGAACACCGGUGGCGAAGGCGGCGAGCUGGUCCAUUACUGACGCUGAGGCGCGACAGCGUGGGGGAGCAAAACAGG
rnacentral:rRNA from 1 species